GACGAACGCUGGCGGCGUGCCUAAUACAUGCAAGUAGAACGCUGAAGGAGGAGCUUGCUCUUCUGGAUGAGUUGCGAACGGGUGAGUAACGCGUAGGUAACCUGCCUGGUAGCGGGGGAUAACUAUUGGAAACGAUAGCUAAUACCGCAUAACAGUAGAUGUUGCAUGACAUUUACUUAAAAGGUGCAAUUGCAUCACUACCAGAUGGACCUGCGUUGUAUUAGCUAGUUGGUGGGGUAACGGCUCACCAAGGCGACGAUACAUAGCCGACCUGAGAGGGUGAUCGGCCACACUGGGACUGAGACACGGCCCAGACUCCUACGGGAGGCAGCAGUAGGGAAUCUUCGGCAAUGGACGGAAGUCCGACCGAGCAACGCCGCGUGAGUGAAGAAGGUUUUCGGAUCGUAAAGCUCUGUUGUAAGAGAAGAACGAGUGUGAGAGUGGAAAGUUCACACUGUGACGGUAGCUUACCAGAAAGGGACGGCUAACUACGUG
rnacentral:rRNA from 1 species